AGAAAAGACCCCAACGUGUGGCCUAGGUUUCUCAGAGAGAGAGAGCUUGAGAAAGAGAGAGAGGCAGAGAGACAUAGACAGUGCAGAACCCCCUUCUCUCACCUUCCCUUCCACCCUCAUCUGGUGCAUGGAUGGAGCUUUCCUCUUGAGAUUCAAAAGGGACUUUCAUGGUGAUUUGAGCCCUUCUUUAUAGGCAUUUACAGCAAGGUAACCUUCACUCCAUAGUCUUAUUUCAUGAGUUCAUACUUGCCUUUCCAUGCCUCUUUGGUUGCAAUGCAUGAUAGCAGAAUCAUACUUUGUCUUGAGCCCCUUUCCAUGAGAUUUAGUUCAGAUUUUUGUAGCUUCAUUUUCUUCUCCUUCUCACCCACAUAGCAGCCAAGUUUGAUUUUAUAAGGGGUUACUAUGCCGAAAUUCUUCCUUGCACCAUAUUGAAAGUUUCAUGUAUCAUAACCCUUAAUCAAGCUCAACACACCUCUCUUUUUAACCUUCUUUUGGCGUGCUCCAUAUAAUAUUGUUAGUGGUGGUUUUGUUGAUCAUUUGAGUUUGGCCUUCAUACUAUAUGUUUCCCAUAAUUUUUAUUGAAAUUGAAUCACAUAAUUUCCCUACCGGAUUGGGUAAUCAAAUUAGUUGUGAGUAAGACUCUAACCGGCACAAAUUUGAUCCAUAUUUAGCUUCCCAUAACUUUGAGACUUAAGUGCACAAUUUAGCUGUGUGUAUGUAACUUGAGAUUGGCUAAUUGUGUAUUUGAUGGUUAUGUAAUUUGUAUAAUUGAAGUCCUUUGUGUUGAGGUGUAAUUUGAUUAUGUAUUAUUUUUGGCUAAUCUAUAAGUUAAGUUUUGAGUAGAACGAGUAGUGGACGAUUUGGAAUUGAUAGUGUUGUAAUUUGCAAUGUUUUUGUUAUGUAAUUUUGAUUUAAAGUGAGUCAUAUCUUCUUGUAAUUUUGGAUUUGAGGUUGCAUUUUAGGUAUUUUUCUUAAAAGGUUUUACAAUUUGAAAUCCUUGGGCAAGGUAUCAAGACAGCCAGACAGUUUGAAUAUCAUCAAAAGUGUAAAAUGCUCCAUAGUACUUGUCUCGUAAGUAUUUUGAUAAAUUUUCCAACGAAAUGAAAUUUAAUGGAGUUACCAGGUAACUAAGCAAGGCAACCGAUUUGCAUGUUCGUGCUUGUUAAAUUUCACAGUCAAGCUUGCAUCCAAAGAUAACAAGUUUAUGAAUGGAUAUAUUCCUUUGUAGAUUUGGUUUGUAUAAGGUGUCAACUUUAAAGAAAUCAUAAUAAGCCGUGCAUCUAAAUUUUAUUAAAAGAUACAAUCAUGGUACUAAAAAUAAUUGCAAUGCCUUAAAAAUCUAUUUUUCACCCUUAAUUAUUAAAUUUGAAGCUCUAAAAAUGAUAUGGAUCUAGUAGAUCUAUAAACGUUUAAAAUUUUAAAAAUUGACAGUUUGGUUGAUAUGUAACAAGAUGCAAUGUAUUUAGAGCUUAAAGUCCAUUUGCUUUCCAUAUCCAUAUAUUGAGGUUAAGAUGAUCAAUUGUAGAGUUAUUUGAUGUCUAAACAACAUUCCUAGGUGAAUUUUUUAUGCAUAUCUUACUUCUACAUUAUAAGGUUGAUCCUUAUAUAAACCUUUACCUUUAUUUAUUAGCACAUACAGCAUUUGUUCUCUCAGGAGCAUACUACAUACUAACUCCUGGGGCAAAAAGAGCUAACUCGAAGAAUUCUUUUGCUUUGAAAAUUUGGGAUCUAUAUAAGAAUUAAAAAAAUAUAGAUUUUGAGUUCCUGAAUACUUGGAUCUAAUCAUUGAAAAAUUGGAAUAUCUCUAUUCAUCUCAUGACAUUAUUUUUUUUGAGGUAUAUGCACAAUAUUUUUUCUUACUUUUUUUCGAGUCUUUUUGUAGAACGGUAAGUAGAUUCAAGAGGCUACAUCACAACAAUUAGGACCUAAAAAUGCUUAUAGCGUGGGUUUUUUUUAUUUUUUUUUAUUUAUUAGGGAAUGACUUAAGCCAAUUUGCUACUCCUACCUGCUUCCAUGACACACGUGUGACUGUUUAGCGUGGAUUUUCUUUAAUAAUUAUUUAAGGAAAAUGGAAGAUCCUAGUCUUUUGUUAAAAAUGGGCACUACAUACUUAUCUUUUGAACACGUCGUGGUGCUAAGACGGACAAACUCAAUGUAUACGAUAUAGUUUAUGGAAAAGUUUAUACAAGGACGCACCGCAGGUUAUUUUGAUGCUCAAAUAUUUUCAAAUUGAUCAUCUUAUCCUUAAGAUGCAUACACAUGAGAAAAACAAUGGAUUUCAAGUUUUGAAAAUAGUGCAUCUUGUAAUGCAUUUUUGAACCGUCAAUUUUCAAGAUUUUCAAGUUUUCAUAGAAGUACUCUAUCUAUACUAUUUUCAAAGCUUUAAAUUUUAUAAUUAUAGAUGAAAAUUUAUUUUAAGGCUAUCACCAAUAUUUCCAAUAUUGAAAGCACAUUUUUCGAUGCUAUUUGAAGGUGCAGUUUUACUUUGAUUGUUUAGAGCCUCGGCCAUAUAGAAACUGCACCCAUAUUUAUUGAUUACUCCUUGGAAACAUAUGGUGCAUUUACUCUUGGAAAAAGUUUAUAUAAGGUUGCAUCCUUAUAUUGUGGAGCUACGGACGCACCUCAAAAUCUAUCAGAAAAGGUAAUUUUAAUGUUGAAAAACCCUUUGAUUGAUCAUCUCGACAUUGAGAUGUAUGACCAUCAAAAAUAAAAAGAUUUUAAGUCUCAGAAAUAGCGCAUUUUACAACAUAUUAUCUACACCGUCUAUUUUCAAGAUUUUCAUGCGAUUUAUAGAUUACUUGAUUUUAACCAUUUUUAAAAUUUUAAAAUUUAUAAUUAGAUAUAAAAACAGAUUUUGAGAUAAUUCUAAAAACAUUUUACAUCAAAAUGAUAUACCAUGAUAAAAUUUGAAGACACACCUUACCUAAUUUUAAGACACACCUUACCUCUACAGCUGCAUCCGUAUGCCAACUGCACCCUUUACUCUUUUAGUUUAAAAAGUAACUUGCAUUAAAGAAUCACCACAUAAUCAUUACCAAAAAAGUAAAGAAAAAAAAAAGAAGAAGUGAUUUCAGAUUUUAAAUACUUUAGAUAUAAGUGUCCAGAAAUUGGAUUAUCUACAUGUUAUUUUUUCGGACACAUAAAAGUGCAUCUUAGACCUUUUUCAAUUUUUUAGGUUCCACUGAAAGUUGAAGAAGUUACAUUCCUAAUAUUUUACAUCCCCGAAAUUUUGUCUCAAAAUACUCUAAGAUCAGGUUUUACCCGUGUAUUAAAACGAGAAAAUUCUCACGCAAGAGCAUAAAAUAUUUUGACUUCAAGGAAUAUACAAAAUGAUGUAACGAAGUACAUUAGUUGGGGGAUUUGAUGAACUAUGCUUCUAUUGACCAUCGAUGUAAAUUACCAAGAUAAUUCACACCUGUCAUUUCUACCCACUAAAGUCAAAGUCUCGACCAAUGUAAUUGGAAAUUUCUACCCACUAAAGUCAAAGUCUCGACCUAUGUAGUUGGAAAUGCAUGCAAUAAGACUAUUUACUUUUGAUAUAGUUGGAAAUGUAUGCAAUAAGACUAUUUACAUGAUAUAAGGAAGUCAAAUCAUUUUUUUGAGAAAUUUACAUAGGAAUGAAAUAUGAGGCGUUGUGCUAUGAAAACCUAGGCUCUAAUGUCUUAACCAAUGUCCGAUUCUUAAGGAGGUCACAAUCAUUAUUCACUGUCAUAUGUGAAAUCAUUUAGAGAUGUGUCAUUGACUGGCAUAGAGUCCAAAAUACAAUUUCUUGAAUGUUGUUGCACACUUCAACCUGUCAGAUUUAGCAUCUAAUGGAUAAGAGUAACUAAAACCCUCCUGUAUCAACAAUGAAUAGUCUUGUAGCAUACAUUCCCUUCUUCUAAAAUCCCCAUUGAGUCAAAAGUAGAGGCAGACAUAAACAUGAAAAUUGGGAUGACAAUGUCAUAAUUUAGCAAUGGGAAUAAACUAGUAGUAUUUAAAGGCAAGAUCGGUAAUGGGGUACACCAAGUCAAGUACUCCAGUUGAUCGGCGUCAAUAAUACCUUAUUGCAUUACUGAUUAACCAACCAUCUAAUUUAAUUCAAUCAAGAGUGAUGAUCCAAUGGAGAUGAGGAUGAGUCUACUCUUAAGGCAGCAAUCCAUUGAUUCUUUGAACCUUUUCGUCUUUUUGGUGAGUGUUGUUAGUAUAAUAAGGGCUAGUCCAAAUAUCUGC
rnacentral:lncRNA from 1 species